rnacentral:rRNA from 1 species
UUGGAGGGCAAGUCUGGUGCCAGCAGCCGCGGUAAUUCCAGUUCCAAUAGCGUAUAUUAAAGUUGUUGCAGUUAAAAAGCUCGUAGUUGAAUUUUUGAUUUGGCUGGGCGGUCGGCCGCAAGGUCUGUACUGCUCUGGCUGGAUCUUUCCUUCUGGAGAACCAUGAUGCCAUUUGUUUGGUGUUUUGGGGAUCCAGGACUUUUACCUUGAAAAAAUUAGAGUGUUUAAAGCAGGC